GUGGGCACGCCCACCAGAGUGCUUCAGGAACACCUAUGCAAAGAUCGGGUGGUUUUCUGAAGACGCCCACAAAAUCGAAGGGCCUCCUGAGAGUCGAGGAGGGUGAUGACUGUGGUAGCGGGAGCGGUGAUGUUUGACAGACCCGACCCCCCAGCCGAGCUCAGCUUCAGCACGCUGGUCUCUGAGAAGAGGCUAGUAUCCAGCGUCCCACCUGCCUCAGGGGGUUGUUUGAGCCGAUGGAUAAUGACAGUGAAAGGUAACUCGCUGUAAAUUACAAAGCACUAAGCAAACGUACUUAGUUUGGGGUGGGGUGGAGCUUAACCCACAGUCACUUCGUAUCUUCUCUGCCUGUAUCCAGUGCUGACCGGUCAGGGGAUUUUCUGACACUCGAGUGCUGUUAUAAAAGUAACAAUCUGGAAAAUUUAAUUCUCAAUUAGUGGAUUUAAUAAGCCAAGACAGGAUAAAACUUGCAAAGUCCAGUUCUGUUUUUAAAUAGACCCACCUCCCUAGUUUUUGGCUAGACUUUCCCAGGCUCCUUUAGGACCCCAGAGCUUAAUUACUUUUCCCGAUACAGGACGCUUUCCCCAAGAACUUCCGAGGUGGCCAUGGUUUUGUUUUGUUUUGUUUUGUUUUAUUAUUAGCAAAAGAAAGGAGCUUGCAGAGUGCAGAGUGUGGUCUGGUAAUGUAAUCGAGAAUUUCAGUUGUCCCAAAUUAAGAAAAGGUAAAGUCACUUCUGUUGUCCCCAUUUUGCAGAUGAAGGUAGGUUAAGUCUCUUGCCCAGGCGGAGGCAGAUUUAUUUAUCUUGAAGCAAGUGAAGCCUGAGCUCUGGGCUCUUCAUGUGCAUGGGGCCUUUGCAUGGCCAUGGGAGGGGUGAAAGCAAUUUAUUCACAGGAUCACGUUUUAGUAAAGUUUUCAAGAGUGAGGUCUUUAUUCUUUUCCUUAAGCAGGACCCCUAUGGUGACGUGACCUUUGGACUCAAUAAAUCUCAGAUUCGCUGUUGGGCUGCAGGUCACACAGCUGAUAAAUGGUACCCGAGUCUGUGAGCGGAACCACCCAAGUUCCGUCCCACCUCUGAGCUGUGGAUCCUCAACUGGAGGUGGGAAUGGCCUUGCUCAGGGCCUGUAAAGGCCAGGGCAGACUUCCAGCCUUGCAUCCCUCACGGGACUGUACCGCCCACGUGGGUGAGGGCACCUGAAAGCAUUUUGGUUUUUGAUGUCCUGUUGUUAACAUGUAUGUAACGUGGACACAACGUUUUUGAAGAAUGUUUUGAUAAUAUGGGAAAUGCUGUCCUUGGGUUGGACGAACAGAAAGAGAUAAGAGGCGCGUAUGUUACUAAACCCGCAGGAAGCAUCAGGAGAGGCAGACGAACAGGCCGGGAAGCAAUACGUCGGCAUUUUCAUGAUGGUUCUUUAAAUAGCGGGAUCACGUUUUAUUUUCAUGUCUCAAGUUCUGAGCGUCUUUAUUGGAUUAGUUUUUAAAAGCGAUACAUGCUUAGUUUAAAAGUUAAACAGCGCUAAAAGGCUUAAUAAAACCAAAAGCACCCGUACCUGCUGUAAGUAGAAGGGAAAAACCUAAAGCGAAUCCUAGCACACAUUUAUACUUGUAAAAGCUUUCGGAAUUAUGAGGGUAGAGAGGGAGAAAGUGUCAUAAAUUGUAUAAAAUGGGCCUUUAAAAGUGGCUUGACUUCUAAAAUUUAAACGUUCAUUUGGUUAAUCAUCAGUAAUAACCAUUCUGCAAUAUCAGAGAGGAAUAGGAACCAGAGGUGGUAAUUUUAAAACCUUGAAGAUACACAGGAACUCCGGGAGCCCGGAGGCCCGCCGACCUUCGGGAAGGAGGUGCCCUUUCUUCUUCCUGAGCAGGGAUGAAAUGGACCUGUGGAAUCCUCCACUUGACCCCAGACUCUCAGGUGGAACCCCUUUCUAUGAACUGAUGAAUUCUAGCAGGUGGUUAGAACCUCAGGAUGCCAGCAAGUGUGUGGUCCCAAACUUCUAUGUGGCAGGGAGCGGAGGGACGGGAAGCGGCUGGCCCAGACUCACUGGCUCGUUGACAGUGUGGGUCUGGACUGGGGACCCGGAGCCCUCACUUCCCACAUGAAGCGCUCAUUCUUUCUCAAGUAACUCAAGGAAAUCGAGGCUGCCCCUAGCUCACCCCUCUGCGUGUCCUGGGCCGGCGUGGGGUAGGCUCAGUCACAUUUGCUGUUGUCAAACCUACGAGGAACAGGACAGCUGCCUCCCAAGUCCAGGCGGGGGCCGUCCUGCGAGGCAUCUGCAGGAAGGCGGUCUCAGCCCCCUCGCUCCCAGCCCCCUUUCCCUGAACUAAACGGGGCCCCGAGGUGAAGGCCCCGGGAGCUGCCGGACCCUGUGUGGGGGAGGUGGUGAGGCAGCCACAGCUCCGUGGUCCCAGCCCCGCACGAAGCUCCUAGCAGGACUUCUGUGCCAUGGAAGUAAAACAAAACAAAACAAACACCACGUGCUGACAUAUGGCACGAGUCAGUCACCAUGCUGAACACCCGGACAGUGUCAGUUCUCACGGUGUACUGAUAAGCUGCGAUGGCCGUUUCUGUUCCAGAAAGGUCCCAUUCUGGGAACUAGGAUUGGAAUCCAGCGACCCCAGACCCCCAACUCCAACCAACGAACCAACCAAAUGCCAGGCCUCUGGCAACAGAGGAAAGUCUUGGGGCUAAAAGUAUUUAUUCGUCAGAAUUGAGGAUGACAGAUAGAAAACAAUAACACCAAAUUAAAUAAAAGUUGAAGCGGGUCACGAUCCUGAGUGCUCAGUAAAUGGAGUUUGAAAGAUCAAAAGUGGGAAAGCCGUGAACGUGGAGGGACUGAUAGUUCUCCGAUACUUAGGAACUUUUCUCAAUGGGAGGCUUCUUCUGUGAAAGUACAGUGGGGGGUGGGGGAGGCAAGGGUAGAUGCUUCUGGAAGGCAGAUACCAGCAGAGGACAGGAGCCGCCUUGAGCUGGGAGCUGCCUGCAGAUGGGGCGGGCCACCUCCCAGAAACGCGGGGACCACUUAAUCAGGGACGUCUACAACGGCUGCACGCACUGGCUGCGUAGACAGGUGCACCGGAUCAGGGGUGACGUUUUGAGUUUUCCUCAGUUUGUUGACCUCCGACUGGUCAGCUAGUCUCUUAGCUUUGGUUUUCUCAUCUAUAACAUAGGAAUAUUAGUCCUUACUGAGGCAACAAAGGCGGGCUAUCCGCCUUUCUCGCCAGUGGGAUGGCGACGCACUUGAGGGACGAGGGUUCCAUGUUCGUCCUCUUCUAAAGUGACAGAACACAGAGCAAAAAAGGAUUUAAAGCUCUAAUCUUUUUCAACAUUUUGUAUGACCACACCUUCUCUGUUCUCAUUACUUAAAAAAAAAAAAAAAAAGAAAUACCUUUAUAACCUGAAGAAUUUUUGCCUUUUCAGCAUCACCAUGACAAGUCGAGAUGCCAAUCAAUUGAAAUGCAGCUGUGACCGUCUCACAACUAACUCUGAAUGACUAGCCAGCUUAACUUCGUGCUAAAAUGAUUUCUUCCCUACGCAUUUCAGUUCAAAAGAUAAAAAUUAUGUCAACAGAGCUAUUAAAAUUUUAGCUAAUAAUAGAAUCGUUUUUGUUAUGCUGAUAAAACAAAUCUACAGCUUUAUUUAAAUUCCACAGCUGUCAUUGUAGUAAAACGUGUACACGAGGAUACGGAGAUUCAUGGACUCUAACAAGCAAAGAAAUACAAAUGCGAGAAUGCCUUUCGGGAGGCGUGAGCACCAACCUAACAGAAGAAGUAACACAGAGGCC
rnacentral:lncRNA from 1 species